UGGGGAAUAUUGGGCAAUGGGCGCAAGCCUGACCCAGCAAUGCCGCGUGGGUGAAGAAGGUCUUCGGAUUGUAAAGCCCUUUCGGCGGGGACGAUGAUGACGGUACCCGCAGAAGAAGCCCCGGCUAACUUCGUGCCAGCAGCCGCGGUAAUACGAAGGGGGCUAGCGUUGCUCGGAAUCACUGGGCGUAAAGGGCGCGUAGGCGGCCCAUCCAGUCAGGCGUGAAAUCCCUGGGCUCAACCCGGGAAUUGCGCUUGAGACGGGUGGGCUCGAGGCGGGGAGAGGGUCGCGGAAUUCCCAGUGUAGAGGUGAAAUUCGUAGAUAUUGGGAAGAACACCGGUGGCGAAGGCGGCGACCUGGCCCUGAUCUGACGCUGAGGCGCGACAGCGUGGGGAGCAAACAGG
rnacentral:rRNA from 1 species